rnacentral:tRNA from 3 species
CGGGGUGUAGCUCAGCCUGGUAGAGCGCCUGCUUUGGGAGCAGGAAGUCGCAGGUUCGAAUCCUGUCUCCCCGACCA